GGGGGGAGCACAUACACAUCUUUUUUAAAAAAAAAAUAUUUAUAUAUACAUACUCAAAAAAGAAAAUUAGAUAAUUAACUGCAUAUUUUACAAAUGCACAAAUAGUUGCGAGCUCUUGACCAAGCUCACAACUGGAUUCUCUUCCUAAAACUACAGACUUCGAAACAUGUUUGGCGUUCACAUGUUUACGGGACAAAAUCUUGCAACAUUUACUUAACUACUUAACCAUUCCUGCAAACUCAAGCUAGGUUGGACGCUAGACAUCGGCUACCACCGACUAAAUGUUUCAUGGUUGAUCGAUGAAUAUAUAUCGCACGUCACAAACCAUGCAUAAACAACUUAUAACAAUAAGUUACAUCAAAUUGGAGAAGGUCGUUUAUUAUAGUUGACCAUCGCCAUUUUCGAAUCCCUCGGCGGCAGCUUCUUCUUCUUCGGUGAUUGUUUCCAAAGUGGGUGUGUUAGAAGGUUUCUUUGGGUAAAUGAUAGGUGCUGGGGCAACCUCGAUCCAGGAACUUAGCUUUCUGAUUCCCUUAGCCAUUGGCAUAUUUUGACGACGACAACAAACAACAAUUGAUGUUGAUCAAAUCUCAAAUCAAGUCUUGCUAGCAAAAUAUUUUCUCUCCUCCUCCUAUAUAUGCUUAGAAAGAAGAGAGAUAUUUCCUAAGAGUCUUUAUACAAGGGUUUUAAUUUGUUUAUGAGAGAGAAUCAAAUAAGAAGCAGAUUUUUUUUAUUUUUUUUGGGUUGUUAUGU
rnacentral:lncRNA from 1 species